CGGCGCGCCUAAUGCAUGCAAGUCGAGCGAUGAGGCCCUCUUCGGAGGGUACAUCAGCGGCAGACGGGUGAGUAACACGUAGGUGACCUGCCCUAAAGAUGGGGACAACGGACGGAAACAUGCGCUAAUACCCAAUGGACCUGUACUGUCGAAGGUAUAGGUAAAGCUUCGGCGCUUUAGGAGGGGCCUGCGGCCCAUCAGCUAGUUGGUAGGGUAACGGCCUACCAAGGCAAAGACGGGUAGGGGGUGUGAGAGCAUGACCCCCCACAAUGGGACUGAGACACGGCCCAUACUCCUACGGGAGGCAGCAGCAGGGAAUAUUGCACAAUGGACGGAAGUCUGAUGCAGCGACGCCGCGUGGAUGAUGAAGGCCCUCGGGUCGUAAAAUCCUUUUCAGGGGGAAGAGGAAGGACGGUACCCCUGGAAUAAGCGUCGGCUAACUACGUGCCAGCAGCCGCGGUAAGACGUAGGACGCAAGCGUUAUCCGGAUUUACUGGGCGUAAAGCGUCUGUAGGCGGUUGGGUAAGUCGGGCGUGAAAGCUCCGUGCUCAACGCGGAGAGGUCGUUCAAUACUGCCGAACUAGAGGACAUCAGAGGAGCAUGGAAUUUCCGGUGUAGCGGUAAAAUGCGCAGAUAUCGGAAGGAACACCAGUGGCGAAGGCGGUGCUCUGGGGUGUGCCUGACGCUGAGAGACGAAAGCUAGGGGAGCGAACAGGAUUAGAGACCCUGGUAGUCCUAGCCCUAAACGAUGGAUGCUAGAUGUGGGGCCGAGA
rnacentral:rRNA from 1 species